AUCCGUUCAACCAUAAAUGUUCAAAAUACAACACGACGAAAGUUCCAAUACAUAAACAUAGGGCCGAGUUACAUAACUAAGGUUUGCUCAAUAACUAACGUAAACAAAUAUUCGAUCAACAUCUACUAAUCAAGUUGGCUGCUUUCCUUUUGCAUUCACUACCACACUUACUUUCUCCAUUCGAAUUGUGACGUCCUCCGAAAUCUUAAGCUCUUCUUCGUCAGUCAGACAGACUCGAGAUUCAAACAUGCAGGACAUUUCAUCUCCUAUUUCGUUCUGUGGGGUUAACGACGCAAGCAUCAUCGCUACUAGAUGCACCGUUUGAUUCGUCUGUUACAACCCAACUCCAAAAACCACAAUUGUUACUAUAACGAAGAAAUAAUUUUCCUUUAUUCGCACCUUCUUUCUCCAUGACGAAACAUUUCUCAAAUCCACGUUUGAACGAUUGGCAUGGGCGUUUCUUCAGGCAGUCGUCAAAGAAGCGGGUCUUCGCUCUACAACUAUGACAGAUCCCGAAGUUCCUUCCGACCAUUCUGCACAACAAACAAACUGAAUGACAUUUGCAAUACAGCCAUAAAGUGGUGUGCCUAUCUCAUAUUGAAGUAACAUAGUAGACAAAUAGCCAACCCAUUUAUAAGAGGCAAAGUGGUUGAGAGAGUUCGUGAUGUAAACUGUAAAUCAAUUCUCAAUUUUCUUUAACCACUAAAGAACUUCUUCGAGUUUUUUUUUUCAAUAAGUUCAUUGUAGCCCAGAAAUCUCCACCAACACCGGGCAAUAAGUGAUUUACAUCUGGUAAGAACUAGAUUAGCAGGCAACCGCAACAUGAUUUUUCCCUUUCCAGUUUUCUUACUUCCCUUCCAAAAAGAACAGAAAACAACAGAAAAAUCAGUGCUUUCAUAGAAAUGAAAUUGAGAACUCAGAUGCUCAUAACUCAAAAGGCCUAAUUGCUGCGAAGAAAGAAAAGAGUUGAGAUAACUUCAUUCAAUUUUUUUGUCUAACUUAGAACAUACACACAUAAUUGGAAGCAAAAACGCUAAAAUAUGAGCACCAACAAGAUCCAACAAUUACUUCAAAACCAAAAAUGAAGGGCAGUCUUCAUGCAAACAUUAGACUACAAAAUCAACAAAAACUUGAACCUCAAACCUGAGCACAACGAAGAAAUGAUGACAGAUAAAAGACGAGCUCGGUCUUGAUUUUGUUGGGCUCUGGAAGUGAAAAACACUCAAACCUGUGGAUUUCCGUCGUGAUUCUCUGGGUACCACAGUCGGGGGGGGGGGGGAUGUCAAAGAAUGCUUGUGAUUUCAGACGGCCGUCAGAGAUGGUGAGUCGUACGACGGGUAUCGCCUUGAUUGGACGACGAAGUGUUUCAAAUCUUUUCCCUUGGGUAUUCUCUCUCUUCGUAGGGAAAUAUGAGAGACUAUGGGUUCAACCGGUUGCCUUCACCCGUUUUUCCUUUG
rnacentral:lncRNA from 1 species